GUUGAAGUCCAUCCCCAGAAGUGCCUCACAGAGUAACUGUGGUUUUGCUUUACUCAUAAGACUACUGGUUAGGUCUGUGUGAAGGAAUUACAGGACAAUU
rnacentral:snoRNA from 1 species